UCUCUCUAGCUCUCCAUCUCUCUCUAAAACCGAAACACUCCCCCUUUCUACUCUCCAUUUAUGAAAUUCUUUCUCUCCAUGAGCCAAGAGCACUCAUUUCCCCAUUGAAGGAGGGAGAAGCUCAAGAGAAACACUUGUGAAGACCAUGCAUAGCAUUGAUCUUGUGUUGUAGGGUUCAAGAGAAGCUUGUACGGGUAGAAUCUCAAGAAUUUAGCACUUUAGUGAUCAAGUGAAAGCAAGGUAAGAGAUCUUGGUAGUUUGCAUAUUUUCUCCCUCAUCUAGGUCUUUCUACCCUAAAUCUCUCUUAAAAAUCUGCAUGUGAGACUUUGGGGCUCGAUUUGAGAGUGUAGAGCACAAGGGGGAGUUCGAGGAAGCUAAGGAAGACACAUCUCCAAGCUAGAACUGCCAAAGGUAAGUGCAAAAGUAAAGUGGAGUAAUGAGCGUCGGAGUCUGCUUGUGGAUAUGUACACGUGGCCUGACCUGGGGAGGUUUUUGAUGGAUCACCAUUUUGAAAAUAAAAAGUCGGAAGUUUGCUAUUUCUUUUGAGAUAAUUGUCUUGUUAUAACUCUGUGGAAGAUUAGUUGUAUUAUAAGUCCUCGAUUUGUUGGCCCAUUCGAGAUUUUAGAGAGAAUUGGGGAAGUGGCUUAUAGGUUAGCCAUGCCUCCAACUUUGUUAGGAGUGCGUAACAUUUUUCAUGUGUCCAUGUUACACAAGUAUGUUUCAGACCCGUCUCACAUCCUUAGUUAUGAGGCAUAGGAUAUGCAACCAGACCUAUCAUAUGAAGAGAAGCCAGUUGUUGACGUGGUUUUUUGCCACCAGUGUAUUUUAGAAAUAAUAAGGUUGAUUAGUGCUUAAUAAUAAACUGAAAUAUGAAAUAGAUUUGGA